ensembl:lncRNA
CAACCAGCCAGCUCAGCUGCAAGGUGACUGGUUGGAAGAGCCCAUAGGACCCGCCUUGUGCACACCAUCAGUGGGCCUCAUGUGCAGUCCUGGGGUCCUCAGCCCACUGCCCUACCUGCCCUCAGAGUCCUGGAGAGCACAGUCUUAUGAACUCAUCCAUUCUGACAGGAAACAAGAUACAAUUAACUCUUCAAAGUAGGCCACAUUUCAAUACUUUAAUCCUCAGACUCCAGGUUCUUUCACUUCAACAAGCUACACUGCAUCAGGAAUAGGCGAACUAAGUUGAAGUAGUUACCCCGGCAAAUUCACUCAACACUAAUAAAAAGGACACACAAUAAAAUUCUGCAGGCACCACGUGGCCAUUACCAUCAUGGAGCUUUGGAAAGUCCUCAGGAUAGGUCACAGAAGAUCUUAAGUUACUCUUGCUUUUCUGCCCUAAGCAACGUGAAGUGACAAACGGCUCCCAUGGCCUUUCACUCAACGUUUAAAGUGAUUCCUAAGGUUUCCUAUCUCCAUGGGCAAUAAUGGUGGUACCUGGUUCCACACCAGGUUCAGUCACUGCUUGGAGGAAACAGUUGCUUCCAGGCAGCUGGAGGGACUCUAAGAGGAGAAAUUCAUCACUAAUCACACUCCAAAGGACUUUUAUCCUGGAUCAUCAAGGAGUCUCCUUGUGAAGCAGAGAAGAUAAGAAAUAGACACCUUUGGGGGGGGGGGUGCCAAAUUUAUUCAUAAAGCAUUUUUACUGC